AGUCACGCCCGGAGCCCGAUGGAGACCAGCGGCUCUGAGCUCCCGGGAAAGUGGCCGGGGCCUGGGCCCUGUUCCCAGGAAGCUCAGCAAGGCUCCGUGCCCCACAACCUGGAGGGGUGGGAGGGGAGUCUGGGUCGGGAUGGCUGCACCCUUGGCCCUUGGGUAGGAGCCCCCCACUACCACCCCCGGCAAGACCAGAAAGAAGCCUGGGUGUUGGGGGGAGGAGUUCAGAGAACCAAGCUCUGCGCAGACUCAGCGGGAGGAUUUGGAAUCGGAGCUGGAGUGUGGGGACGCCGGACAGAUGCCAGGGGAUCUACGUACCCAGGAGAAGGGCCCAGAACGAGCAGAUUUGAACUGAGACCAGUUGCUCUGCCUGUGGGUAUGAUGCUUCGGACAGCACCUGGCUCUGAGGACAGAGGCCCUGGACCCAAGCCACGCGGGCCCACCUUCUCCUGAAGAUCUGGGCUAACUGGGAAGCAAAAAUAAUUACUCUUGUGCCAAAAUGUCCUUGUAAUUAGCAGUUCUGGGAGAUAAAUGAAUUGAAAUAUG